GAUGAACGCUGGCGGCGUGCUUAACACAUGCAAGUCGAACGAAGCACUUUAUUUGAUUUCCUUCGGGACUGAUUAUUUUGUGACUGAGUGGCGGACGGGUGAGUAACGCGUGGGUAACCUGCCUUGUACAGGGGGAUAACAUUUGGAAACGGCUGCUAAUACCCCAUAAGCGCACAGCAUCCCAUGAUGCAUUGUGAAAAACUCCGGUGGUAUAAGAUGGACCCGCGUUGGAUUAGCUAGUUGGUGAGGUAACGGCCCACCAAGGCGACGAUCCAUAGCCGACAUGAGAGGGUGACCGGCCACAUUGGGACUGAGAAACGGCACAAACUCCUACGGGAGGCAGCAGUGGGGAAUAUUGCAAAAUGGGCGAAAGCAUGAUGCAGCGACGCCGCGUGAGCGAAGAAGUAUUUCGGUAUGUAAAGCUCUAUCAGCAGGGAAGAUAAUGACGGUACCUGACUAAGAAGCACCGGCUAAAUACGUG
rnacentral:rRNA from 1 species